AGGACGAACGCUGGCGGCGUGCUUAACACAUGCAAGUCGAGCGGAAAGGCCCUUCGGGGUACUCGAGCGGCGAACGGGUGAGUAACACGUGAGUAAUCUGCCCCUAUGCUCUGGGAUAGCUCCGGGAAACCGGGAUUAAUACCAGAUACGACCACUUUAGACAUCUGUUGUGGUGGAAAGAAUUUUGGCUAGGGAUGAGCUCGCGGCCUAUCAGCUUGUUGGUGAGGUAACGGCUCACCAAGGCGACGACGGGUAGCCGGCCUGAGAGGGCGACCGGCCACACUGGGACUGAGACACGGCCCAGACUCCUACGGGAGGCAGCAGUGGGGAAUAUUGCGCAAUGGGCGAAAGUCUGACGCAGCGACGCCGCGUGGGGGAUGAAGGCCUUCGGGUUGUAAACCCUUUCAGCAGGGACGAAGCGAAAGUGACGGUACCUGCAGAAGAAGCGCCGGCUAACUACGCGCCAGCAGCCGC
rnacentral:rRNA from 1 species